UAGGGAAUCUUCGGCAAUGGGGGCAACCCUGACCGAGCAACGCCGCGUGAGUGAAGAAGGUUUUCGGAUCGUAAAGCUCUGUUGUAAGAGAAGAACGUGUGUGAGAGUGGAAAGUUCACACAGUGACGGUAACUUACCAGAAAGGGACGGCUAACUACGUGCAAG
rnacentral:rRNA from 1 species